rnacentral:tRNA from 1 species
CAGGGAGACAACAAAAUGUUUAAUAUUAUUAUUUUGUCACCUUAGGUCGAUCGGUAUCUCACAUUCUUAAUUCAUUAAGGAUUUCAUUUCCUAAGUUUUUCUAGGUCACACCCAUUAUUUUCCUGGGCCAUUAGCUCAGGUGGUUAGAGCGCACCCCUGAUAAGGGUGAGGUCCCUGGUUCAAGUCCAGGAUGGCCCAUAUCUCUAUGUUGGGGGUAUAGCUCAGUUGGUAGAGCGCCUGCUUUGCAAGCAGGAUGUCAGCGGUUCGAGUCCGCUUACCUCCACUGAUUACCACCUCUUCCAUAUUUUUAGAAAGGAAAUUUUUGUGUUGUGAUCAAAUUCUGAACGAACCUAGCUUCCUAAUGAAAUCAUUAAGAUGCUGGAUUCAUUGAAUUAAUUUCAUUGUUUUCAGAGAACCUUGACAACUGCAUAGAUUAUUUUUAAAGACAAUAAGCAUCUUUAAUGAUGCAGAUUUAUUAUUUGUGCGAAUGCAUUAAUAACAAUUCUAUUAAGCUGAUGCUUCAA